UACAGAGGUCCCAAGCGUUGUUCGGAUUCACUGGGCGUAAAGGGCGCGUAGGCGGGCUGCCGCGUCCGGGGUGAAAUCCCACGGCUCAACCGUGGAACUGCCCCGGAUACGGGCGGCCUCGAGGGGGGUAGGGGCAUCUGGAACUGUGAGUGGAGCGGUGAAAUGCGUUGAUAUUCACAGGAACUCCGGUGGCGAAGGCGAGGUGCUGGACCCCUCCUGACGCUGAGGCGCGAAAGCCAGGGGAGCAAACGGG
rnacentral:rRNA from 1 species